rnacentral:rRNA from 1 species
GACGAACGCUGGCGGCGUGCCUAACACAUGCAAGUCGAGCGAAAAGACGAGGAGCUUGCUCCUCUGACGUUAGAGGCGGAGGGGAGAGUCACAUGUGGAUAACCUACCUAUAAGACUGGGAUAACUUCGGGAAACCGGAUCUUAUACCGGAUAAUAUAUUGAACCGCGUGGUUCAAUAGUGAAAGUCGGUUUUUGUGUCACUUAUAGACGGAUCCGAGCCGCAUUAGCUAGUUGGUAAGGUAACGGCUUACCAAGGCGAGGAUGCGUAGCCGCCCUGAGCGGGUGAACGGCCACACUGGAAGUGAGACACGGUACAGACUCCUAGAGUGAGCAGCAGUACAGAAUCUUCCGGGAUGGGGGAAGGCCUGACGGUGCAACGCGGCGGAAGGGAUGAAGGUCUUCUGAUCGGAGAACUCUGUUAUUAGGGGGGAACAAAUGUUUAAGUAACUAUGCUCGUCUUGACGGUACCUGGUCAAAAAGCCACGGCUAACUACGUG